GACUAUGACGUCACGCGUCCCCACGUCUAUAUUCAGCAAUGGGCGGGGCUCCAAGUGUCCACGCUCUGAGGAGAGUUGGCGACAGGUCCUAGGCCGUGAGUUAAGGGGAUAUAAUCAGCUAUCUGGGCCUGUGUGGUGGCACACUCCUGUAAUUCCAGCACAUGGGAGGCUGAGGGAGCAAGUUCAAGCACUGGGGAUUUGGACCCAGGACUUUGUCCUGUGUGACAGCCAAGCACUCUACUACUGAGCUACACUCCCUGCCCAACCUCAAGUACUUCGUUAAUGUCUUCAGAAGACUCACCCAGUUCAGCCCCUUACCACCUGCAGGGGUAUGUGCAGAGGGAAGGCUGAUGCAUUCAGCCCAGUCUGCUAAGUGGCCGCACUCACAGUGAAAAGAUUGGCCUGCUUUGGAAUAUCAAAUACCUCCUCUUUGGAGGGGAAGGAAGAUGAAAGCAAUGACAUCCACACUCCCCCAGAGCAUCUCCCCAGCACAGCCUGAGCUCUUGCAAUGGGGUUUUGUCGGGAGAGCUCAUCACCUGGAGUGGUCAGGGAGGGCUCAGUCACUGUGCGGUCACUGGGGGAGAAGACCUCGUGGCUUCAGCCUAGCCUGCUGAGGAAGCUCUUGGAGUCAGGGUGUCAGAGGGCUGAGACCCCACAGGAAGUGCAGAGCCGGAUGGGAAGGAGAGGUGACCACAUCCUGCAUUUCUCUGUGGUUCCCCCAGGAACCAGUAACACAGCCUGGAGGCUCAGCAGAGGAAAACCAAGAAGCCAAAUGAAAACCACAAUGAAAUACUCCUUCAUAUCCGCCAGCAUUGCUAUCAUGAAAAGAAAGAUAAUAACAAGUGCUGGUGAAGAUGUGGGGAAAUAGGAGCCCUCAGGCACUGUUGGUGGAUAGCUGCUUUGCACAGUAAUCUAGCAUUCCCAAAAGGUUAAAUAGAGACUUGUCUUUCAACACAGCAAUUCCACUUUUAGGUGCAUACCCAAAAGAAAUGGAAAUUUUGGUCCACAUGAAAACCUGUCCCUUAAUGUUUGGAGCAGCAUUAGGCAUAAUGACCAAAAAAUGAAAAGUACCCAACAGUUCUGCUGUUAAGAUUGAGAAGUUUUUG
rnacentral:lncRNA from 1 species